rnacentral:tRNA from 1 species
UGCCUCUUAGCCAAGUUGGUAAGGCAGCGGUCUUUGAAGCCGCGAUCCCAGGUUCGAGCCCUGGAGGGGCAGCCA